rnacentral:rRNA from 1 species
AGGGAGUUUGAUCCUGGCUCAGGAUGAACGCUAGCUACAGGCUUAACACAUGCAAGUCGAGGGGCAGCAUGGGAUUAGCUUGCUAAUCCUGAUGGCGACCGGCGCACGGGUGAGUAACGCGUAUCCAACCUUCCCUAUAGUAGAGGAUAGCCCGGCGAAAGUCGGAUUAAUACUCUAUGUUUUCCGUUGCAGACAUCUAAGAUGGAACAAAGGCUUGCCGCUAUAGGAUGGGGAUGCGUCUGAUUAGGUAGUCGGCGGGGUAACGGCCCACCGAGCCAUCGAUCAGUAGGGGUUCUGAGAGGAAGGUCCCCCACAUUGGAACUGAGACACGGUCCAAACUCCUACGGGAGGCAGCAGUGAGGAAUAUUGGUCAAUGGGCGAGAGUCUGAACCAGCCAAGUAGCGUGCAGGAUGACGGCCCCCU